rnacentral:rRNA from 1 species
AUACGGAGGGUGCAAACGUUGUUCGGAAUCACUGGGCGUAAAGGGCGCGCAGGCGGUUUGAUUAGUCAGAUGUGAAAGCCCACGGCUUAACCGUGGAAGUGCAUUUGAAACUGUCAGACUUGAGUACCAGAGGGGGUAGUGGAAUUCCCGGUGUAGAGGUGAAAUUCGUAGAUAUCGGGAGGAAUACCGGUGGCGAAGGCGACUUUCUGGCUGAAUACUGACGCUGAGGCGCGAAAGCGUGGGGAGCAAACAGGAUUAGAUACCCCGGUAGUCC